rnacentral:misc_RNA from 1 species
AACCUUAUGGACCUGCGGGCGUAUACCUGCGGAAGGAUCAUUACCGAGUUUUCAACUCCCUAACCCUUCUGUGAACCUACCUAUCGUUGCUUCGGCGGACUCGCCCCAGCCCGGACGCGGACUGGACCAGCGGCCCGCCGGGGACCUCAAACUCUUGUAUUCCAGCAUCUUCUGAAUACGCCGCAAGGCAAAACAAAUGAAUCAAAACUUUUAGCAACGGAUCUCAGAUCGGAAGAGCAC